AACGAACGCUGGCGGCAGGCUUAACACAUGCAAGUCGAACGGGUGCAGCAAUGCAUCAGUGGCAGACGGGUGAGUAACACGUGGGAACCUUCCUAGGGGUACGGAACAACUCAGGGAAACUUGAGCUAAUACCGUAUACGUCCGUGAGGAGAAAGAUUUAUCGCCCUUAGACGGGCCCGCGUCGGAUUAGCUAGUUGGUGGGGUAACGGCCUACCAAGGCGACGAUCCGUAGCUGAUCUUAGAGGAUGAUCAGCCACACUGGGACUGAGACACGGCCCAGACUCCUACGGGAGGCAGCAGUGGGGAAUCUUGGACAAUGGGCGCAAGCCUGAUCCAGCCAUGCCGCGUGAGUGAAGAAGGUCUUCGGAUUGUAAAGCUCUUUUGCCAGGGACGAUAAUGACGGUACCUGGAGAAUAAGCCCCGGCAAACUUCGUGCCAGCCGCCGCAGUAACAC
rnacentral:rRNA from 1 species